GGAAGUGGUGUUUUCCAGUGGCGAACGGGUGAGUAACGCGUAAGAACCUGCCCUUGGGAGGGGAACAACAACUGGAAACGGUUUGCUAAUACCCCGUAGGCUGAGGAGCAAAAGGAGAAAUCCGCCCAAGGAGGGGCUCGCGUCUGAUUUAGCUAGUUGGUGAGGCAAUAGCUUACCAAGGCGAUGAUCAGUAGCUGGUCCGAGAGGAUGAUCAGCCACACUGGGACUGAGACACGGCCCAG
rnacentral:rRNA from 1 species